rnacentral:rRNA from 1 species
GUGGGGAAUAUUGCGCAAUGGGGGCAACCCUGACGCAGCCAUGCCGCGUGAAUGAAGAAGGCCUUCGGGUUGUAAAGUUCUUUCGGUGAUGAGGAAGGUGGAUGUUUUAAUAGAGCAUACAAUUGACGUUAGUCACAGAAGAAGCACCGGCUAACUCCGUGCCAGCAGCCGCGGUAAUACGGAGGGUGCGAGCGUUAAUCGGAAUAACUGGGCGUAAAGGGCACGCAGGCGGACUUUUAAGUGAGGUGUGAAAUCCCCGGGCUUAACCUGGGAAUUGCAUUUCAGACUGGGGGUCUAGAGUACUUUAGGGAGGGGUAGAAUUCCACGUGUAGCGGUGAAAUGCGUAGAGAUGUGGAGGAAUACCGAAGGCGAAGGCAGCCCCUUGGGGAUGUACUGACGCUCAUGUGCGAAAGCGUGGGGAGCAAACAGG